rnacentral:lncRNA from 13 species
CAAAGCUGGUUGAAAUGAGAUGAAAACAGUACCGGUUGUUGAUAUUUUUUAAUUGCAAUGUAUUUUCUGUAUUUCCACAAUAUGCUGACAAAUGUUUUUUUUUAAAGUGUCCCGGAGUUGAGAAUAUUAGAGGCAUAUCCAGAGACCAAAAAGCUGAACAGAUAACCUUUUUGAUUUGCAGGAAGGGGAAUUGCAUUGAAUCAAAUGAUUAAUUUACAAUUCUUUAACACCAUUAAGCGAGGGGUGCCCUAGUGAUGUUGAUUAUGUCAUGAUGUCAAUUAUGCCUCGACAUCAGAUGUGGGGUAUCACCUUUGGGGUCUGAAUUCAGUGGUACAAUAUUCAAACAAAACUGCAAGAGGAGAAUUCUUUGAUUAGAACUUAAUGUCAACAUAUAAUUCUAAUUCUUAUCAUAUCGAUGUCACAAAGGUUAAAUGUUUUGGAAUGUUUACCGUUACCGUGCAAACCUGUUUGUUAGCUCCAAUUCUACAUUUUUUAAUGUAAAAUUCUCAUUAUCCUUUUUGAAAAUGAAGAUGGCAAUUAAAAAAUGGUUUCGAGGUUGGUGUUUUUUUUGCUUUGUGUGCUGCUGUAGCACCAACGGGACCAAAACCAGGACAAGAAAUGGAAGAAAACAACAAAAGAACAAAGAGACUGAAUUUAUUGAAUUGACAGACCUUGGGAAAAACACUUCAGUCAAUGGAUCAUGCAAACGAUCUGGCACAACAAAGAAGGAAGCACCUGAAACAUUGAAAAAUGACACUCCAACAUCAACAAGCAGCAAGAUCUCAAAUAAUACCUUGAACAAAGAGUCACCUGGUCACCUUUCUGUUGAGGACUGUAAGGCCCAGCCUUUUUACCCAACCCACCAUUCUCCGCAAGAGGAGAACCCACUUAUUCUCCAGUCUGGUCCAUUGCUAGAUUGCACAGCUGAUCAUUGGCCAUACUUCCCUCCAAACCUCCUGCCCCCUCCACCCCUGGAGCAAAAAACAACCAUGACCAAGUUAUUUGGAGAUCUCACUCUGCUCCAGCCUGGUCAGUCCAUGGGAGAUGCCUGGAACACUUCAGACAUUAGAGCGGAAGAACCUCGUUGUCUGGAGGUUGUGAAAAACCUGACAGGCCUGUGGGGCAGCAGUGUGCAACGCCAGCCUCAUCCGACGUCACCAGCCAAUCACCUCAGCCCAGCCCUGAACCAGUAUCUGGACUCCACCACCACACCGAUGAUCUUUGACCUCCAGAAACUGGGCCUGACCUCUGAUCUCAUGGAGGUGCCUGAGGAGAUGCUGUUUAUGGAGGUGUGGGACCUCGGUGAGGGCGCAGGGGACCAGCGCUAUAAGGCCAAGUGGGAAAUUACCGGGACGAGCGGCAUUGUGCUAGACGAGGGCACCUGGCUGCAGAACGAUGACAACUGGUGA